AUACAACUCAUCAACCCUGUGAACAUACCUAAAACGUUGCCUCGGCGGGAACAGACGGCCCCGUAACACGGGCCGCCCCCGCCAGAGGACCCCCUAACUCUGUUUCUAUAAUGUUUCUUCUGAGUAAACAAGCAAAUAAAUUAAAACUUUCAACAACGGAUCUCUUGGCUCUGGCAUCGAUGAAGAACGCAGCGAAAUGCGAUAAGUAAUGUGAAUUGCAGAAUUCAGUGAAUCAUCGAAUCUUUGAACGCACAUUGCGCCCGCCAGUAUUCUGGCGGGCAUGCCUGUUCGAGCGUCAUUACAACCCUCAGGCCCCCGGGCCUGGCGUUGGGGAUCGGCGGAAGCCCCCUGCGGGCACAACGCCGUCCCCCAAAUACAGUGGCGGUCCCGCCGCAGCUUCCAUUGCGUAGUAGCUAACACCUCGCAACUGGAGAGCGGCGCGGCCACGCCGUAAAACACCCAACUUCUGAAUGUUGACCUCGAAUCAGGUAGGAAUACCCGCUGAACUUAAGC
rnacentral:rRNA from 1 species